AGUGUGUAUUGUUUGUGUGUGUGUGUCUUAAUUGUGGACUUGUUUGCGUAGGCGUCGUCCUGAAGAGUACGACCUCCACGGCAGGAAGCGGCCGCGAGCCGACGGUCCGCCUGACUUCAGCCAGCGAGCAGGCUUCAUCCAGGACCUCCGGAAUCAGCCGGUGGACAGACGGUUCUCUAACGUGAGACGAGACGUUUUCCUAAACGGGGUGAGUCAGUCUGAUAACCGAUGUCCGGCCCUGGUUUAUCGUAGUCAGGUCUCAUCUCCUCAUCAGGGUGUUAGCGCACACAGGACAAAAUACAUCCACAGUGGAAAAUUAUUACAUUAAAGUCUUUAAAAGAUACUUACAAAUAUGUAACACAGUGUGACUGCUGUUGAGUGGGAAUAUGCAAUCAGACUUUCUGUGGAAAGGUUCACAAUGUUUAUCAUAAAAUAAUAUUCAAUAUAAAUAAUAACAAUAUUCAGUGUUCAUAAUAACAAACAAUUUUAUGUAGGUUCAGGUACGUUCAGUUACAUUCAGGUACCUUCAUGUGUGUUCAGGUGUGCGGUAUGCUCAGGUGUGUUCAGUUAUGCUCAGGUGUGUUCAGUUAUACUCAGGUGUGUUCAGGUAUGUUCAGGUAUGUUUAGG